UAUGGUUAGAUGUCAAGGACUUAGGUUAGAUUAUCUUAGUUUAUAGAAACCUCGUUUGUGAUUCUAAUAGGCAACUUAGAACCCAUGAAAACACAUGAAAACAUAAUGUCCAAACGAGUAUCUAGACAAGAUAUAUUUGCGUUGCACAUAUACUUUUUAUAUUAAUUCUGAAUCCAAACUCUCCACGAACUCCAUAUACUCAUACACCUUCGUUUCCCCAAUGUAGGGUAACUUUGGUGCUCCACCCUCAACGACUCGUCAACCACGUUUACAUCGGAAGCUUAGCAAACUGUGAGCAUACAUGACCUUUUUUUUUAAUUUUCGACACUCUUGGGUGCAAUACUUAUGACUUAUUAAACUCACACAAUCACAUGCAAACACGCUUGACGCAAACAAACAAUCCAUUAUACAUGCUUAAUACGUGAUGCUUUAGAAAUUCAUACAUGCUAGAAUCCUUACUUGCAUUAUAUUUUGUCAUUAACUUCGUACAAGCCUCCCUUAACAUGUAUAGCGCUAUAGGAGUAACACACCGCCCGUAUUUUUGAGGUCAUGUUAAGUUAUAAUGAUAUGUCUUAGUUUACGAUUAUGCCAUGUAGAUUCGUUUAAACCGUUUUUAUACUUCUGCUAGUAAUUCAAACUUGUAUGCUCGCCAAUACUUUAUGUGUUGACAUGUACUUUAAUAUGUAUUGCAGGAACUUGAUGACAACACGUUGAAAGAAUCUAGUAGGCCGACUAGAAAUGCACUUUAAAUUUUGUUUAUGCAUUGUACUUUGUUUCCUUGUUCAAGAUGUUGUACUUUGCUUUCAAACGUUGUAUUUUCCGAGUUAGAAAUGAAAUGAAAUUUUACUUAUUAAAUACUUGUCACAACUAGUCGUUAUGAAGUCUCUUGCAAUCUCAUUUUGGUCUCACUCCGAUGUUUCCGCCAUCGGUUGGGGUGUGACAUGCGAUGGCGUGACAGGAAGUCACUGA
rnacentral:lncRNA from 1 species